rnacentral:tRNA from 1 species
CGGAUGUAGUUCAUUUGGUAGAGCGUCAGCUUCCCAAGCUGAAUGUAGCGGGUUCGAGUCCCGUCAUCCG